UGGGGAAUAUUGCACAAUGGGCGGAAGCCUGAUGUAGCGACGCCGCGUGGGGGAUGAAGGCCUUCGGGUUGUAAACUCCUUUCGACAGGGACGAAGCUUUUGUGACGGUACCUGUAUAAGAAGCACCGGCUAACUACGUGCCAGCAGCCGCGGUAAUACGUAGGGUGCGAGCGUUGUCCGGAAUUACUGGGCGUAAAGAGCUCGUAGGUGGUUUGUCGCGUCGUCUGUGAAAUUCCGGGGCUUAACUCCGGGCGUGCAGGCGAUACGGGCUGACUUGAGUGCUGUAGGGGAGACUGGAAUUCCUGGUGUAGCGGUGAAAUGCGCAGAUAUCAGGAGGAACACCGAUGGCGAAGGCAGGUCUCUGGGCAGUAACUGACGCUGAGGAGCGAAAGCAUGGGUAGCGAACAGG
rnacentral:rRNA from 1 species